GAACUAGUUGCAUUUGCUGUGGAGUUUCCGGCUGUUGAGUUAUUGGGAGUGAUUUGCGGAAAAACAGGACUCGUCCAGGCCAGAGCAGUUCCGGCAGCAACCGCUCCCAAGCAAACUGCCGCAAGAUAUUGGCGUGACUUCGAAGUCCUCCCCACGCCUUCCUGGAGGAGAUCGUAGUUCAUCGGAUCGCGAGAAUUCUGAUCACCAUCCUCUUGACUGACAGUCUGCAAAGGGAAAAAGACGGUCUUGAGUAAUUGCCUUUAGUAUAAUUUAUCUCUAUCCAUAAUGAUUACAAUUGCUGCUCUGUUUGGUUUCCUCGCUGGCCUAGUUACGAUAAUAUUCAAAUUGCUUGUGUUCCUUUGGACUUUGAUAAAAUCAAUACAUACUAGUAUUAAAAUAGCUAGAUCUUUAAAGAAAAUUCCGACAGUAAGCGAUAUUAAGACUCAAUUUAAAGAGAUGUCAGUUGGCAAAGUCCAAACUAUAGUAAAGGAAAAGUUAAAUAGGUCUUGAAAAACAUAUUCUUAUAAAUAAAAUAUAUAUUGGCUACAGCAA